GAUGACUUCCCUGGAGAGGCCACGCUUCUAGUUCCAGCAGCUGCAGGGGCUUCUGCUCAGUUGGAGGUGGUGCCUCCUGCCUGGUGAAGGCAAGGUGCUAGGAGCUUCCUGGCAGCCGGAGCUCUGGGCAUGCUUCUGAGCUCUUCCUAGCAUUUCUCCAGGGGAGGCCGUGUCCCUCCUGGGCUCCUGGGCAGCGCUGUCACAUGAAGUAGGGGCUGAGGUGGCUACAUUUUACUAGGCCUUCUAUGAACCUCUCUGCCAUCCUUCUGGGAAACUGAGCUAGGCGAUUCUGGAGGAGUUGGCACUUAGGUCAGGCUGUCCGGGAGCCUAGUUGUGGUCAGGGGACUGAGCUGCACCUGUCACCUGGGCUGGAGGGUUGGUCCAGCACAUGACCACGCUAAGCCAAUGGGAGCCCUUCCCUGGGAUUUCUGGCAUCUCUGCUAGUGAUGUCAGAUGAUCGUGAGGCUGGACCCAGGGUGGCCACGAUUUCAGCCUCCAGGGGCGGCCAGUCUGCGAGAAUAAAGCUCUCCCGCCAGAGAAGCAAAGAUGAUAGAAUCGAAGGCCUUUAGAAUAGCAGUGACCCCAUUUACUGGAUACCUCGUAUGUGCCGGGCCCCCUGCACACAGUUUUCCUAGAGCAUCGUCCACCAGCAUCAGGACAGGACAAGUAACUGGGGAUGACGAGCCCCUCCGAGGUUCAGGCGCUUGCCUAAGAUUUCCAAAUGGUGAAGCCAAGGGUCUGACACAGUGGGCUCGGCCCCCCAAGCCUGAGGCCUCUGCACUGGCCCGUGGGUUGCAUGCCUGCUUCCCUCUUGGGUAGCUCCAUGCCUUCGGGGGCAGAGGGCAUGCAGGCCAUCACGAUGGGCGAGGGUGGGCACACGCCUGGCUGAGGUGGAGCGAGCAGAGGACCGGGUGCCAAGGGCUCGGAUGCUUCCCUUCCCCUUCCGCCCACCCCCAGGGCAGAUGCGGGGAGCCCACAAUGGAAGCUACUCUCAGGGAUACCCCUCCAACAAAGACGGGCCUUCACCAAAGAGAAAGUCCCUUUGCUCCACAGCAAACCAAGCGCACCAGUUAAACAAACAGCUCAAAACACACUCAUUCCAAGAUGGGAAGGCCCCUCCGCGCCAGGUUUGCAGCAAGAGCAGGAUGUGGAGGAAGCCCGGCUCACCACAUCCCCUUGGCGCGCGAGGACAAGCCGCGCACCGGCUUUUCAACGCCACUCUUGUUCCCCGUCAAUGGGUCCCAUUGUGGGCGCGAAUUCCCCGGCUCCAGGACUUGGUUUUGUGCCCUGGACCUGGGCUCCCCUACCCGCUUCCCCAGCGUCCGGAAGCCUCCCCUUGUCCUGGGCCCAGGUGCUCGUCGGCCCAGGGUUUCCUCUUAUCCCCAUGGGCGGAGGGACGGAGACCUGGACCAAGUGACCUGGCUGCUUCCUUCGGGGCUCGGAGCCUGGAGGCCCUGGCGCUGCUCAUCCCUCCCUGCUUCCCGCUGGCUGUUCCCCCUCCAGCCCAGGGCACAGAUGGGCACUUCCCCCUGGGGGCUGAAUCUGGCCCACCAGCUGCUCUUCCAAAU
rnacentral:lncRNA from 1 species